rnacentral:piRNA from 1 species
UAUAAGUCUCUAAUUCUCUUC